UUUGAUGCUUUUCAUUAAAGGGCCCAUAUCAUGCAAAAUCCACUUUUUAGACAUUUUGGAGCGUCCCUAUGACUCUAUGGGUCACAUAUACACACACUGAGCACGGUAGAAAUGCAUUUCCUGCUUUUUUCACAUUUUGAAAACGUAAAUUUUCUCAUCCAAUGAAAACAGCCACGACCUACUCUGAGGCCGUGUCCCAGUUGUCGUCACACUGGUUGAAAGUUCUCCUUGCAAAUCCUGAACCACCACCCCCACAAUGAUCCCGAACCAAAACUGGACUUCCGCCAUUUCCCCCCUCUCACUCACCGUGAACAGACCAGCACGGCAGCGCCCAAGUCCUCCCAUAGAAAUAGUUCGGUUCUUGGGUGUUCUAACCAACACCAAAGUCUAUUCACUUUAACAAGGGAUCAACAAGUGAGGAUUUGUGGGUCACUUUUAUUUUUAACGGACCGGUGCCAGAAACACUGCCUCAGCAUUUAUACGUAUGUGCAUUUCAAACGAGGGUGCGUACAAUGCUGGAUUUGUUUCACGGCUCCUGUUGGAAAAAAAGGACCUAUUCCUAAAGUCCGUCAUCCACUCACUGAAGAGGGCAAAUCCCAGUUGCCCACAUGCAAGGAGGCUGUGAAACAGAGAAAUCACUGCAGACUGUUGGUACACAGACAUCUGCUGCCCAGCUCAGGAGUGAAGUACCUUUUGUUUUGAUGAGGUGAUGGUGAGGACAGCCACAGCUUCCAUCUGGUAGAGGACUGCUUCCGCUCAGUCUUCCAAAUAGUGAUGAGAACAAGGAUCACCACAUCUCCCUGUUUACCCUACUUUCAUGCAUUUCGUCUGCAAGGCCCUGCAAAAGCUUCUCCUUCGUCCUCAAACCCCCAGACUUCUUAAUUAACUCAGUAACCUAUACAUUGCACAUUGGAGUGUGAAGGUAACAGUUUGUUCUAGCUUUGGAGUAGUGGUGCAUUUUUUUGGUUUACAAUAAAGUUGGCUUUAACUAUUA